GCGUGCAGGACGAAGGCCUUCGGGUUGUAAACUGCUUUUGUACGGAACGAAACAGCUCUUUCUAAUACAGAGAGCAAAUGACGGUACCGUAAGAAUAAGCACCGGCUAACUACGUGCCAGCAGCCGCGGUAAUACGUAGGGUGCAAGCGUUAAUCGGAAUUACUGGGCGUAAAGCGUGCGCAGGCGGUCUUUUAAGACAGAUGUGAAAUCCCCGGGCUUAACCUGGGAACCGCAUUUGUGACUGAAAGGCUAGAGUACGGCAGAGGGGGAUGGAAUUCCGCGUGUAGCAGUGAAAUGCGU
rnacentral:rRNA from 1 species